rnacentral:rRNA from 1 species
AGUGAACGCUGGCGGUAGGCCUAACACAUGCAAGUCGAACGGCAGCACAGUAAGAGCUUGCUCUUACGGGUGGCGAGUGGCGGACGGGUGAGGAAUACAUCGGAAUCUACUUUUUCGUGGGGGAUAACGUAGGGAAACUUACGCUAAUACCGCAUACGACCUACGGGUGAAAGCAGGGGAUCUUCGGACCUUGCGCGAUUGAAUGAGCCGAUGUCGGAUUAGCUAGUUGGCGGGGUAAAGGCCCACCAAGGCGACGAUCCGUAGCUGGUCUGAGAGGAUGAACAGCCAAACUGGAACUGAGAAAAGGUCCCAACUCCCACGGGAGGCAGCAGUGGGGAAUAUUGGACAAUGGGCGCAAGCCUGAUCCAGCCAUACCGCGUGGGUGAAGAAGGCCUUCGGGUUGUAAAGCCCUUUUGUUGGGAAAGAAAAGCAGCAGGUUAAUACCCCGCUGUUCUGACGGUACCCAAAGAAUAAGCACCGGCUAACUUCGUG